GUCUUAUCCAUUUCUCUGGCGAUGGCGAUGGCGACGGCGACGGGUUGAGGGCUGCGGGGAUGGCGCGACGAGGAGGGGCAGGUGCCGCGGAGACGGCGCGGCGAGGUGGGGCAAUGGCGGUUGUGCGGCGAGGCGGGGCAGGUGCGGUGGAGACGGCGCGCGGCGAGGCGAGGCAGUGGCGUCGUGUGGGAGGAUGGAGGACGCCGGAGCAGAGGACGACAGCUCCGGCCGUCGCUGCUGUCCGCGCACGCCCGCGUGCUCGCCUCCGUCCGCGCCCGCGUCGGAGCACUGCUGUCUGCGCGCGCCCGCGUACUCGCCUCCGUCCGCGCCCUUCAGCUCGCCUCCGCCCGCGUCCUGCCGCGUCCCAACCGCGCCGGGAGACCGCCUCUGCCUGCCGCGCUUGCCUUUGCUCACGCCCUGCAGCUGGCCUCCGCCCUCGUCCUGCCGCGGUGAGCGCGAGCCUGCACCUAUGGUUGCGAGCAGGCAAAGCUGUGAGCUGGACGCUUCUGAAUCUCUGACGGACUUUUGCUCCCUUGUUUGAUUUGAAUCUCUGACGGAAAUCCUGCUCCUGUGUCCUUCUCAAACUCCUGCUCCCGUGUCCUUCUCAAACAAAGAAACCGUCCCGACCCGGAUUGGAGUUCGCUGCUAUAAGUUGAAUUGUUCUUGGCUGGAAUCGUGAACCAGGCCAGCGCCACCAGCGAGCAGUGCACUGUCUCUUGGGUCGUAACACCAUGAUCACCAUCAUGUCGCCUUUGACGUCGGAGGAACAUGCACCGAGUUCGCCUUUGAGUACGCCGGAGGAACCGGCAUCGUGUUUGCCGGAAUUCUUGGCCCAGAGAAGCACUGUGAGUCCAACGGUGGCUACAACAGAGUCUUAUCCAUUUCUCUGGCGAUGGCGAUGGCGACGGCGACGGGUUGAGGGCUGCGGGGACGGCGCGACGAGGAGGGGCAGGUGCUGCGGAGACGGCGCGGCGAGGUGGGGCAAUGGCGGUUGUGCGGCGAGGCGGGGCAGGUGCGGCGGAGACGGCGCGCGGCGAGGCGAGGCAGUGGCGUCGUGUGGGAGGAUGGAGGACGCCGGAGCAGAGGACGACAGCUCCGGCCGUCGCUGCUGUCCGCGCACGCCCGCGUGCUCGCCUCCGUCCGCGCCCGCGUCGGAGCACUGCUGUCUGCGCGCGCCCGCGUACUCGCCUCCGUCCGCGCCCUUCAGCUCGCCUCCGCCCGCGUCCUGCCGCGUCCCAACCGCGCCGGGAGACCGCCUCUGCCUGCCGCGCUUGCCUUUGCUCACGCCCUGCAGCUGGCCUCCGCCCUCGUCCUGCCGCGGUGAGCGCGAGCCUGCACCUAUGGUUGCGAGCAGGCAAAGCUGUGAGCUAAACCGUCCCGACCCGGAUUGGAGUUCGCUGCUAUAAGUUGAAUUGUUCUUGGCUGGAAUCGUGAACCAGGCCAGCGCCACCAGCGAGCAGUGCACCGUCUCUUGGGUCGUAACACCAUGAUCACCAUCAUGUCGCCUUUGACGUCGGAGGAACAUGCACCGAGUUCGCCUUUGAGUACGCCGGAGGAACCGGCAUCGUGUUUGCCGGAAUUCUUGGCCCAGAGAAGCACUGUGAGUCCAACGGUGGCUACAACAGAGGUGGCAAAGGCGUCCAAUCCAACUCAGGUGGAGGCCAGGGAGGUUCGGCUCUCGGACCUUGCACCAAUGAUGCUGGAUGAUACCGACGUGCAGACUAUGUUGUCGGUCGGGUGUCCUCUACUACUGAAGUUCUACCACCAUCUGGUGGUGCUUGAGAGCAGAGACAACAUACUUUCAUCAGCAGCGGCCAAACCCCGUACACCCCUGUACCCCUCGAUAUCCAGUGCAUCACGUCUGCCCAACAUGAACACCUCCUCAAUAUGUACAUCUCUGAAUUUUGCCAUUGUUAGACAAAGUAGAGCAUUGUUUUGCUGUAGCUAUUAUUUGAGUUUAGAAGAUAUACUCCUCUCUUUUUGACGUCAAUUCUUCAGUUGACACUUGUGCAGAAGCCCAAUGGGAUGAAAUUACGGACUACAGAGAGUCUCGCAGAUUUCGGUGGCAAGAUUUUUGUACAAUUACAGUGGCAGAUUUCAGAAAUUUGUAGAGCACAUGAUUUACAAGAACAAGAUAUUCUGUCAAGCCAUGCAUAUCAACAAUCAGUCAAGCAAAGAAAUAUUCAUGGGAGAUAUACAGGGAUCCAGAAGAAUGUGCACCGUAUGGCACUACCCUUUUGUCAUCGAGCCACUAUCACAUUUUGGUCAGCAAUCGGUUCAAGCAAUUCUCAGCGCAAUUAGUUAGAAGUUGGAAUUUACAUCUAAACGAACAAUACAUCAAGCAACAGAAGAAAGAGUGGUCAUCUCUUUUUCUUUGCACCAAGAUGCCAUACAAGCAUUCAGACUUUGGAAUCGCACAAGCAGUUUGUAUAUAAAUGAUGUGCCAUAUCGUUUUAACAUGGACACUUCAAAAGAAUAUCUGCCAAGAGUGGUCGUUGAUCACUAUGAUUAUAGUAGUCCUAAAGAGUUUGCCUCUG